UCUUCUCAAGUUGGCCAUUAACACCUAUAAAAGGAGCCUCUCUGUCACCCCAAAGUAUUCCUAAAUUGAUUUUCUCAAUCUCCUCACAUUCUUCAAAAAAACCUCUCAAGAUGCAGAUCUUUGUUAAAACCCUCACUGGAAAGACCAUUACCCUUGAGGUGGAAAGCUCCGACACCAUUGACAAUGUUAAAGCCAAGAUCCAGGACAAGGAAGGCAUUCCCCCGGACCAGCAGAGGCUGAUCUUUGCCGGCAAGCAACUUGAAGAUGGCCGUACCCUUGCCGAUUACAACAUCCAGAAGGAGUCAACUCUCCAUUUGGUGCUCCGUCUUCGUGGUGGGAUGCAGAUCUUUGUCAAAACCCUUACCGGAAAGACAAUCACCCUUGAGGUGGAAAGCUCCGACACUAUUGACAACGUUAAGGCCAAGAUACAGGACAAGGAAGGUAUUCCCCCAGACCAGCAAAGGUUGAUCUUUGCUGGCAAGCAACUUGAAGAUGGCCGUACCCUCGCUGAUUACAACAUCCAAAAAGAAUCCACUCUCCACUUGGUGCUCCGUCUUCGUGGUGGAAUGCAAAUUUUCGUGAAGACUUUGACUGGAAAGACAAUCACCCUUGAAGUGGAAAGCUCUGACACCAUUGACAAUGUUAAAGCCAAGAUCCAGGACAAGGAAGGCAUUCCCCCAGACCAGCAAAGAUUGAUCUUUGCCGGAAAGCAGCUUGAGGAUGGCCGAACCCUUGCUGAUUACAACAUCCAGAAGGAGUCAACCCUUCACUUGGUCCUUCGUCUUCGCGGUGGGAUGCAAAUCUUCGUGAAGACCUUGACUGGCAAGACUAUUACCCUUGAGGUGGAAAGCUCUGACACCAUUGACAAUGUUAAAGCCAAGAUCCAGGACAAGGAAGGCAUUCCCCCAGACCAGCAAAGAUUGAUCUUUGCCGGAAAGCAGCUUGAGGAUGGCCGGACCCUUGCUGAUUAUAACAUCCAGAAGGAGUCAACCCUUCACUUGGUUCUUCGUCUUCGCGGUGGGAUGCAAAUCUUCGUGAAGACCUUGACUGGCAAGACUAUUACCCUUGAGGUGGAAAGUUCUGACACCAUCGACAAUGUUAAGGCCAAGAUUCAGGACAAAGAGGGUAUCCCACCAGAUCAGCAAAGGUUAAUUUUUGCUGGUAAGCAGUUGGAAGAUGGAAGGACACUGGCCGAUUACAAUAUUCAGAAGGAAUCAACCCUUCAUCUUGUGUUGAGGCUCAGGGGAGGUAUGCAGAUUUUUGUAAAGACCUUGACUGGGAAGACCAUCACUCUGGAGGUGGAGAGUUCUGAUACUAUUGACAAUGUGAAGGCUAAGAUUCAGGACAAGGAGGGAAUCCCACCGGACCAGCAGAGGCUGAUCUUUGCAGGGAAGCAGCUCGAAGAUGGUAGGACUCUGGCGGACUACAACAUCCAAAAGGAGUCUACUUUGCACCUUGUCCUGCGUCUCCGUGGUGGUUUUUGAAGGAGUCUGUUGCUGUUGCUGUCUUGGGUCUAUUUGUUGCUGUGUUUCGUUCAUGAACUAGUCUGUUUUCCUUGUGUUGUGUCCUUAAGAGAGUCGAGAGAAGACUCGUGAACUCAUGUUUUUAUUUGGGAAUAAUAAUGAACUUGUCUGUUUAAUUA